rnacentral:tRNA from 1 species
GCUGAAGUGGUGGAACUGGUAGACACGCUGUCUUGAGGGGGCAGUGGGGGAAACUCUGUGUGGGUUCGAGUCCCACCUUCAGCACAA